CUCUCUCUAGUUCAGCCACCCCCAACUCAGGAAUGAUUGCACGGACAAAAGAACGGAAUCCUGUUUGUCUGACAACUAAGGGAUUGGGGCACUGACUAUAAAUCAGUUAGGUAUACCAGGUGAAACUGGUAUCAG